CUCCAGCCAUAGUUUUCUGAUGAGUCUUGUGGUGAUCACUUAGCUGCUGACAUGGUGGGAUGGAGGAUUCCAGAAUGCGUCAUGACUCACUGCCAUUGUGUUUACAGACUUACAGCAUACCAUGAAGACUCUACAUUAAAGCCACUUCUUAAAGCAAAUGCCAUGUCCUACAGUGCCAUCUGCAGAGAAGCAGUUUGCACUUGACAGAAAUCAAGGUCUUCUAAGCCCCAAGUUAAAGAACUCUAUUCAGCCGGGCGCGGUGGCUUAUGCCUGUAAUCCCAGCACUUUGGAAGGCCGAGGCGGGCGGAUCAUCUGAGGUUGGGAGUUCAAGACCAGCCUGACCAACAUGGAGAAACCCCGUCUCUACUAAAAAUACAAAAUUAGCCUGGGGUGGUGACACACGCCUGUAAUUCCAGCUACUAAGGAAGGCUGAGGCAGGAGAAUUGCCUGAAUCUGGGAGGCGGAGGUUGCAGUGAGCCGAGAUCGUGCCAUUGCUCUCCAGCCUGGGCAACAAAAGCGAAACUCCAUCUCUAAAAACAAAAACAAAAACAAAAACAAAACUCCAUUCAAAAGUAAAGUAGAAACACUAUCUUGAUGCACCAAAAGACCAACUGCUCACAACUUUGGUUCCAAGGUCUGGAGAAUUUGCUGAGUCUGUGAGGCCUGGAGUUUCACAGCCAGUAUCCAAACAGGGACUAUUUCUGAUUAAUGUGUUGCUAGGUAACUCAUAAUUAUACAAGCAAAGAAGCAAGUUCAAUGUAAUAUAACUCACAUUGAUUUUUUUGGCUAUGCUGUAAGAGCUUGAUGUUAAUGUAUAGGAAAAAAAUUCCCAAUAUCCCCCAAACAUUUUGUUCCAAUAAAUACUUCUUAAUAUUUUGAAAUCACCUGGUUGUUCUUAUAGAUCUGAAAGUAUUUGAAACACAUUUUUAUUAUGAAUCAUGAUUUAGGCUCCUGAUAGACAGUUUUGUGAGCAUACUGACUUCUCUAUAAAUAUUACCAGCUCAUUCAAACUAAGUGGAGCAAGUGAAUAGAUUUGUGGUCCUUUCCGUACAGACUUAGAAACUUCCCGGUUUUAUUUUGGUCUAAUUAUAGGUUUUGACUUUUUCAAGGUACAUAAUCAAAGUCUGACCCCUAAAAACGUCUAAUAAAGCUAUGCUUUAAAGGCCAAAGAAAUAAACACAUUAUUUUAAGUGUCAUGGAGUUAGUGCAAAUCCAUGUAUCUUUGCAGGCCAGGGGGUGUUUUCUACCAGAUGAGGGCCUAAGGCAAUGAGGCGGCACAGACAUAAUAAAAGUCUGACGCAGAGAGGAUUUGAAUACCAGCUAGAGUAGUGGAAACAUGUUGUCAAUAAAUGUCUCAGGUCAAGAAACACACAAAAUGAGAAGAAAUCGUAGCAACCACCUUGCAGUGACCAAAAAAAUCUAUAUAUAUUGUCGGGAUAAUUCUGAGAAUAAAGCAGUACUAUGAUGCUAAAAAGAUGGUCUUCCUAAAUUGCAAUAUGAAUGACUGCACGUUAGAAAAGCAUGUAUUUUGGACCAACGUUGUGAAACUAAGCUGUCUUGGGACACCAGGCAUGAAGGCAAUGGGGCACAUUGGUUACGAGUUCUGGGUUUGGCCAGGGUGUGAAUUCCAACUCUCAUUGACCUUGAGGAUGUUAUUUCAAUUUUUUGUGGUUUAGUUUUCUUAUCUGUAUCUCACAAGGUUAUCAGAAAGAUUAUAUAUAAUCAUGUAUAAAGCUUGACAUCUGGCCUCUCAAAUGCUAAAAUAAAAAAUAAAAAAUAAAAAAAAACCCAACCUAAUAGUGUUAUAAUUACAGAAACAGAGUGUUCAGCUUAACAGGACACACUUUCCUUAUGUCCUUUCCUUCCUCAAAAGUAGGAGUAAUUCACCUCCUUCAGGCCAGUUGCAGGUUGCUUUGAGGCCUUGUGUUUCAGAGGAGUAGUAGCUAUUUUAUUACCACGUCUCUUAUUUUCAGUCUUUUAUUCCCCUUUAGUAAGUUUGGCUAGAUCUUCCUUUGUUUUUCUUUCACAUGAUUGAAAUCAGCCACCAGAAAUCACUGCACCCAUCACCCAGAUUCUGUAGUUUUGGUCAACUGCUUGCCAUCUUCUUCUCUACUUUGAUAUUAAGCACCUGGUCAAGAAUUGCAUCUCCCAGGGCUUGUCAGCAUUACUGACACUUUCCUGCAGGCACCUUUGGAAAUGGGCCAACAUAGUGCUGUUUUGGACUAUCAUUUAUCUAGCAUUUGCCCUCAAAGAUACAAACCUAAGUUUAAUCUUAUGAUAUUAACCAUGAUAGAUUGCAACCUCAAUAAUUUUUAUUCUAACAAUUAGAUCUGCUAUUCUUUGGACAGAAUGGCUUUCUUUUGGACGAUCUUUUUGGCAGUCUUUUAGAUGAUAAAGAAGUAAACAAAGUUGUCAAGAAAGUUAAAAGACAUAUACUCGAAACUCUACGGGGGAAAAAAAAGACACUAGGAAGAGCUCUCUGUCCUGGAUGGCAGUAAAGAAAGUAAAGCUACAUAUUUCUAACACAAAUCUUCUGUAUCAUCUCUUGUUUUACAUAAUUCAUAGACUCGCUCUUUAGCAUAGAAUUUGUGGCCAUGUACAAAGGUCACAGCUAGAAUACUGCAAAAUGUGUACAUCUGAGGGCAGAAAUUCUUUUUCCCCAUUACUUAUUUAUCAAACAGGUUGAUGUCAGAUAGAAAGCUUUGGGUGUUGUUUUGCCUUUCUUCCUCCCAUGCAAAUAAUCAUCUCUGUGUCCUACCUUGUUAACCUUUUCUGUUUAUUUCUAUUUCCCUGCAACUCCUUAUUAUAGUUGCCAGUUAAUCACAAAUAUAUUAAAAGAUUUCUUUUUAAUCUAGCAGUCUUCAUCGCUUUGUGGUAUCUAUGUGAACAGUUGUGUCCUCGCUAAGAGAGUGUCCAAUUACACGCACGGCAGGGAAAAGCAAGAGAUCAGCAGUUGACUAUGCUUUUGUCUAAGGUAUCAAAUGUGAAAGCAAAUUAGGUAUCUAAAAAUAAAAACUAAAAUUAAGACUAAUAAAAUGGAGCUUUGACUUUUCUCAUCACAGACUCAUUUAUACUUAAUGACACAGACUGACUGCAUAGGUAAUUGUUAUAAUCUCUCUUGAAAUGGAUUUUAAAAAAUGGCUGAUCUAUUCUUCUUUUCAGGACAGGUAAAUGGAUGCCAAGACAACAGAGAAACAGGAAUCUUUUUGUGUAGUUAUAUAUUAAUUUGUUUGCAAUAUUGGCUUGCAAAUAGAAGGCCAGAGAGAGAUCCAGCACCACAGGGAUUCAAAUCUCCGUUGACAAGUGUUUAUAAAUGACUCGCAACCAGAACAUAUAUGUGGAAUCAGCACACAAAACUGGCAAGAGCACUGGUUCCGCUGCAGAAAUUACACACAAGAGGAGCUCUUUCUGUGUGCUUUCAUGCAUCAGUCUAGAGCCAGUUCUUCCUCAUUCACAUUGAAACGUCAGGUUCGGCCUGAAUAAUGUUUCCAUGCGGGCCUAAAAACUUCUGCAAAAAUUCGAUGGAAGUAAAAAUCACACAAGACCUCAUCACACUCCUCCAUGUGAUCUCAAUAUUUUUAAAGAAAAUAUUUAUAUACGUUUUAUUUAUAAACCACUAUUCUAAGACUUAUAAGUCUAUAAAGCUUCCAUUUGGGCAAAAAUGUAAUCUCCCAAGAUAUAGCAGCUCUCUAAGCUAAAAAUAAGAGAGAAUAUUUUUGAAGAGACAAGAGUCUCAGGUUCCUUGUGAGGGAACUCAAAAUAUUUCACCCCAAAAUAUGGCAAUCUGAGUGUUUUAAGUUAAAACCUCAUAGAGAUCAAUAAGCACUGGAGGAGAGUUUUCCCCUAUCAACAGAAAGACAGGACUGACUCACCCAGGAGAACAAUUGUUCUUGUUCCCCUCCCUGGUAUCUCAUUAUUCACUACAGGAAAGAAGACCAAAAAUGUAAGCAUACUUGAACAUACAUUUUUCAAGAUAAUGAGUGUCUCAAAUGAUUAUUUAAAUUCCAAAGAGAACUAUUUACAAGUUAAUUUCUGUUCCAGUUAUUUUCCUUAGUAAUCAUUUAUUGCACAUCAAUAGAAUUCCUCUUCCCACCCUCCCAUAGCCUGUUCUGCCAGGAUCCAAGCCUUCAUUCUUUCUGUAACCUCAAGAUGGUAUGUCAACCUUUGUACCUCAUUGGGAAGCUGGGUCUUCAUUUUGAAGGCUUCCAAAUAUACACAUUAAAUAAAUUUGUAUGUCUUUUCUCCUAUUAGUCAAUCUUCUUCUUGUCAGUGAUUUUCAGUGAACCUUUAAGGGGUCAAGUUUUGGCCCCCACACCUGCCUUCAGUAGCACGUUUGUUUGAAGGUGGAUCAAC
rnacentral:lncRNA from 1 species